GACGAACGCUGGCGGCGUGCUUAACACAUGCAAGUCGAACGGAAAGGCCCUGCUUUUGUUGGGUGCUCGAGUGGCGAACGGGUGAGUAACAUGUGAGUAACCUGCCCUUGACUUUGGGAUAACUUCAGGAAACUGGGGCUAAUACCGGAUAGGAGCUCCUGCUGCAUGGUGGGGGUUGGAAAGUUUCGGCGGUUGGGGAUGGACUCGCGGCUUAUCAGGUUGUUGGUGGGGUAGUGGCUUACCAAGGCUUUGACGGGUAGCCGGCCUGGGAGGGCUACCGGCCAAAUGGGACACGGACGAGGGCCAGCACUGCGGAGGGAGGCAGAAGGGGGGAAAGCCGGACACAGGGAGGCAGCUGGAGGGAGGAAGGCCGGCGGGGGGAGAACGGCCUUCGGGUUGGAAGCAGGUUUGCCUCGUGAGGAGGGGGGUGGAAGGGAAAUGGGUAAGAAACGACGGGUAAAUAAGGG
rnacentral:rRNA from 1 species